UACGAAGGGGGCUAGCGUUGCUCGGAAUCACGUGGGCGUAAAGGGUGCGUAGGCGGGUCUUUAAGUCAGGGGUGAAAUCCUGGAGCUCAACUCCAGAACUGCCUUUGAUACUGAAGAUCUUGAGUUCGGGAGAGGUGAGUGGAACUGCGAGUGUAGAGGUGAAAUUCGUAGAUAUUCGCAAGAACACCAGUGGCGAAGGCGGCUCACUGGCCCGAUACUGACGCUGAGGCACGAAAGCGUGGGGAGCAAACAGGG
rnacentral:rRNA from 1 species